CCUAGCCUCAUAGACUGGGACAACUAUUGGAAACGAUAGCUAAUACCGGAUAACAGCAUUAACUGCAUGGUUGAUGUUUGAAAGUUGGUUUUGCUAACACUAUGAGAUGGCUUUGCGGUGCAUUAGCUAGUUGGUGGGGUAAAGGCCUACCAAGGCGACGAUGCAUAGCCGACCUGAGAGGGUGAUCGGCCACACUGGGACUGAGACACGGCCCAG
rnacentral:rRNA from 1 species